AAUCUACUCCCUCCGUCUGAAAAAGUUUGUUUCUCAAAUGGAUGUAUCUAGCAUUAAUUUGGUGCUAGAUACAUCUAUUUGAGGAACAAACUUGGGACAAUUUUUUUCGGGCGGAGGAAGUAUAAA
rfam:Triticum urartu cultivar G1812 contig273034, whole genome shotgun sequence.